AAUUCUCCACUGAAAUAUGGGAUGAACAAACUAGCUUUUGUGGAAGGCAGUCGCUGGGGAUUGAAAUGUAUUAUUUGUGAAAAAUGUAUAGUUAUGAAAGGUUAUAGAUGCAUGACGUAUGCUAGAUGCUGAUGCAAUAUGAUUAUUCUUUUUUUUCAACAAGCUCUCUGUAUUUUAUUAACAAGAUUUUUUUUUCUCUUUUUGUUUUUCAAAGCUCUCUGCAAGUUGUAACACCCCGAUAAAAUAAGAUAAUUAUUUAAUUUAAGUUAAUAAUAUA
rnacentral:lncRNA from 1 species